UACGUAGGGGCCUAGCGUUGUCCGGAUUUAUUGGGCGUAAAGAGCGUGUAGGCGGUUCGGUAAGUCUGUCGUGAAAUCCUGAGGCUCAACCUCGGGCGUGCGAUGGAUACUGCCGGGCUAGAGGGUGGUAGAGGCGAGUGGAAUUCCCGGUGUAGCGGUGAAAUGCGCAGAUAUCGGGAGGAACACCAGUAGCGAAGGCGGCUCGCUGGGCCACACCUGACGCUGAGACGCGAAAGCUAGGGGAGCGAACAGG
rnacentral:rRNA from 1 species